rnacentral:lncRNA from 1 species
GGCGGCCGCUCACCUCUACGACAACAGUCUGCAGACCCCCCGUGUGGGCAGAGCCCGACCCCCAGGCCUCUGCUCGCGACACAAAGGCAGCUUCUAGGUCGUGGGAUGUGCCUCCUGCCAUCCGCCAGUGCCCGACCCUCACGCUUCCUUUGUGGAGAAGGGAAAAAAGAUCACACUUAAGCAAAAGUAAACCACAGCCUGAUACUGUGCCAACAACAUUAACCAACUUCUCCUCGGCGCCUUUGAAGUCAGCGGGGGGCAGCACACUUGUGGCGCAAGGAAAGAACGAUCCUGCGGGUUUUCUGCUGCGCCGUCGCCGGCUCGGGUCACGGGGGCUCCAGCCCGGAUUUCGCCCUUCUCCACACCUGGCCCCAAGCGCGACCGAAGCCGUCAUCCCUUGGGGGCCGAAGGAGAGCGCUGACGCAGGUGAGCGGGAAGUGAAGCCUCAGGAAAGCGAGAGCAGAAACGGGAGCGAGGUCGGGCAGGGCAGCGUCAGGCGGGGAGGCAUCUUCUCCUGCGCUACGGCGGCCUAUUGAUCCGCAACGUUGGAGAAGCCCGUGACAAGCAGGGCCCGGAGACCUUCGAGCUGGUGGGCCAAUAGCUCGGGAAGGAGGAGCUUGGUUAUCGCUGAGCACUACCGCUGGAGCAUUUGGAAGACAUCGCUGACAACGGUCUCGAGAAACAAGAAGGUCACCAGGUGACGGAGUCCCGCCCUUUGGGUUGCGGGCCAAGUAGCUGUAGGUUGUUCAAAGACAGCAGCACGGGCUGAGGAACAUACAAAGGCUUCUCGGGUGUUCCGAGGCUCGAUACUUUAUCUGACUUCCUAAAUACGGAGUUCUCUGUCCAAGUGUAAGUCCUGUGGGGCACGCGUGGGUAUCAGAGGUCCGAGACGGCCUCUGUUUUGGGAAAACAGCACCACACUGUUCUUGAGCCUUUAACGUGUCCUCUCUGCGUGCCUCUUUCCUAACACCUUCCCUCCUUGUCCAAAAUCCUUCUGCCUCUUGCCUACGAAAACUAGGCUCUCGUGGAAGGUUUGGGGCCAAAGGUCCGGCUAUAAGACAGGGAAACCGGGUCCAGACACGAACGGAGAUUUGCGUCUGCAGGAGCCGCAGGUGAUAACACAACCUUAAAGUAGCAAGGGCUGCUCCCCCACUGUGUUUCCCGGUCCUUACGUUUAGGAAGGCCGUCUAAUAACCCGAGCGCCAAAUGCAGGCCAGACAGCCUGUCUCUCCCGGACGGCGGGGUGAAGAGGGGAACGUCAAGCCAGACGCUAAUAGAGAAUCCUUCGGGCCGCGAGUGCACUUGCAAAGGGGCUGAGGGAAGUAGGUCAGGAUGAAGGCACUGCGGCCUCCCGUGGAUUCAUUGUGACAAAAAUAGCUCCGCGGGGCUUUCAUCGAGAGCACCUGCCUGUUCAUUCAGACACCGGAGCCACAACUCCGAGGAAGCUCCUGGAAAUGAAAUACUGGUUAGUCCACAGGCCCCAUCAAAAUGUGAGUCAACGGGCAGAACUCUCCAAGUUCUCAGAUGUGACAAUGC